rnacentral:rRNA from 1 species
GAUGAACGCUGGCGGCGUGCCUAAUACAUGCAAGUCGAGCGAACAGAUGAGGAGCUUGCUCCUCUGACGUUAGCGGCGGACGGGUGAGUAACACGUGGAUAACCUACCUAUAAGACUGGGAUAACUUCGGGAAACCGGAGCUAAUACCGGAUAAUAUAUUGAACCGCAUGGUUCAAUAGUGAAAGACGGUUUUGCUGUCACUUAUAGAUGGAUCCGCGCCGCAUUAGCUAGUUGGUAAGGUAACGGCUUACCAAGGCAACGAUGCGUAGCCGACCUGAGAGGGUGAUCGGCCACACUGGAACUGAGACACGGUCCAGACUCCUACGGGAGGCAGCAGUAGGGAAUCUUCCGCAAAGGGCGGGGGCCUGACGGAGCAACGCCGCGUGAGUGAUGAAGGUCUUCGGAUCGUAAAACUCUGUUAUUAGGGAAGAACAAAUGUGUAAGUAACUAUGCACGUCUUGACGGUACCUAAUCAGAAAGCCACGGCUAACUACGUG